CAGUCGCCGCGGGAAUACGUAGGGUGCGAGCGUUAAUCGGAAUUACUGGGCGUAAAGCGUGCGCAGGCGGUUCGUUAAGACAGAUGUGAAAUCCCCGGGCUUAACCUGGGAACUGCAUUUGUGACUGGCGAGCUAGAGUAUGGCAGAGGGGGGUAGAAUUCCACGUGUAGCAGUGAAAUGCGUAGAGAUGUGGAGGAACACCAACGGCGAAAGCACUCUGCUGGGCCGACACUGACACUGAGAGACGAAAGCUAGGGGAGCAAAUGGGAUUAGAUACCCCUGUAGUCCCUGUCUCUUAUAC
rnacentral:rRNA from 1 species